UACGGAGGGAGCUAGCGUUGUUCGGAAUUACUGGGCGUAAAGCGCACGUAGGCGGCGAUUUAAGUCAGAGGUGAAAGCCCGGGGCUCAACCCCGGAACUGCCUUUGAGACUGGAUUGCUUGAAUCCUGGAGAGGUGAGUGGAAUUCCGAGUGUAGAGGUGAAAUUCGUAGAUAUUCGGAAGAACACCAGUGGCGAAGGCGGCUCACUGGACAGGUAUUGACGCUGAGGUGCGAAAGCGUGGGGAGCAAACAGG
rnacentral:rRNA from 1 species